rnacentral:tRNA from 1 species
UGGGGUAUCGCCAAGGCACCGGAUUCUGAUUCCGGCAUUCCGAGGUUCGAAUCCUCGUACCCCAGCCA